rnacentral:rRNA from 1 species
AACGAACGCUGGCGGCAUGCCUAACACAUGCAAGUCGAACGAGACCUUCGGGUCUAGUGGCGCACGGGUGCGUAACGCGUGGGAACCUGCCCUUAGGUUCGGAAUAACUCUCCGAAAGGGGUGCUAAUACCGGAUAAUUUAUUCGGACAAAAGAUUUAUCGCCUUUGGAUGGGCCCGCGUUGGUUUAGCUAGUUGGUAGGGUAAAAGCCUACCAAGGCGACGAUCCAUAGCUGGUCUGAGAGGAUGAGCAGCCACACUUGGACUGGGACACGGCCCAGACUCCUACAGGAGGCAGCAGUGGGGAAUAUUGGACAAUGGGCGAAAGCCUGAUGCAGCAAUGCCGCGUGAGUGAUGAAGGCCUUAGGGUAGUAAAGCUCUUUUACCCGGGAUGAUAAUGACGGUACCGGGAGAAUAAGCACCGGCUAACUCCGUG